rnacentral:rRNA from 1 species
CCUACGGGGGGCUGCAGUGGGGAAUAUUGGACAAUGGGGGGAACCCUGAUCCAGCCAUGCCGCGUGCGUGAAGAAGGCCCUCGGGUUGUAAAGCACUUUCAGUGAGGAAGAACGCCUGGUGGUUAAUACCCAUCAGGAAAGACAUCACUCACAGAAGAAGCACCGGCUAACUCCGUGCCAGCAGCCGCGGUAAUACGGAGGGUGCGAGCGUUAAUCGGAAUUACUGGGCGUAAAGCGCGCGUAGGUGGCUUGAUAAGCCGGUUGUGAAAGCCCCGGGCUCAACCUGGGAACGGCAUCCGGAACUGUCAAGCUAGAGUGCAGGAGAGGAAGGUAGAAUUCCCGGUGUAGCGGUGAAAUGCGUAGAGAUCGGGAGGAAUACCAGUGGCGAAGGCGGCCUUCUGGACUGACACUGACACUGAGGUGCGAAAGCGUGGGUAGCAAACAGGAUUAGAUACCCCUGUAGUC